rnacentral:rRNA from 1 species
AGUGAACGCUGGCGGUAGGCCUAACACAUGCAAGUCGAACGGCAGCACAGAGGAGCUUGCUCCUUGGGUGGCGAGUGGCGGACGGGUGAGGAAUACAUCGGAAUCUACUCUGUCGUGGGGGAUAACGUAGGGAAACUUACGCUAAUACCGCAUACGACCUACGGGUGAAAGCAGGGGAUCUUCGGACCUUGCGCGAUUGAAUGAGCCGAUGUCGGAUUAGCUAGUUGGCGGGGUAAAGGCCCACCAAGGCGACGAUCGGUAGCUGGUCCGAGAGGAUGAUCAGACACACUGGAACUGAGACACGGUCCAGACUCCUACGGGAGGCAGCAGUGGGGAAUAUUGGACAAUGGGCGCAAGCCUGAUCCAGCCAUACCGCGUGGGUGAAGAAGGCCUUCGGGUUGUAAAGCCCUUUUGUUGGGAAAGAAAUCCAUCUGGUUAAUACCCGGGUGGGAUGACGGUACCCAAAGAAUAAGCACCGGCUAACUUCGUGCCAGCCGCCGCAGUAA